UGUCUCUUGAGACAUCCAUGCCGCCGCUACGCCGUUCGCUGCCGUCUUCAUCCACGUCCCGCCGCACUGCAUACGACGCCACUGCUCUUGCUCGGGACGGUGAUGUCAUUCUCUGUGUGUGUGUGUGGCCUGUGGCUAUUAGAUUCUUAACGCAGGAAUUGCGCCCCAAAUUUAGUUCCUCGGUGAGUUACUUUCCCUGGCAUACGAUAAAAUGUGGAUUUUGAUUGCUGAUCGUUUCUAAUGAUUGCAUUCUUUAUCGAUCGAUAUGAUGUUACGCAAAAGUAAAAGGGGAUAUAAGAGGGAAUAGAUAAUGCAAGGACGUAAUGGACUCCUCUGAUUUCUUCAUUCUUCAAACUUCGGGGUAAUUUGGACAUACUGAACCGAGUAGAUGGUAGUGAUGCUCAUGAGCGUUGGGUUCCCAGACAAUGGCUGGAGGCAGGUCCUUCAUUCUCGUUCAAGCAGUCAUUGGAUGAACUAGGUAGUAGAAAAUUUGGGCUGAAUUUGACUCUGUUGCCAACAAAAUUAAGAAUGUACUAUGUUACUCUAAAUUCAUAGAUUUGAUACUAUUUUGUCGAUAGAUACCGUCGUGGGCCUGCAAGCAUUCAGAAAUAUAGACACAUGUUAAUAAGCAUUGGUAAAUAUUCCAGAAAGGGGAGACAUCUAAUAACCAGAAUGUGUCUGAACUUAAUGACCAGGAAAAGAGUUUUGUUCUUGCAGCGUUCAUUUCAAUAGAUGUGACAUUGUGAUUUAUUGGCUCAUUUUCUAGUAACUUAAAUUAUUUGGUGUUUAUCUUAUGCUCUCUUGAAAUCUUAACUUUUUUUCUCAGUAAUAUAUAUAUUUGAUGCCUUGUUAAACUCUCAAUGGACAUGACACUAUACUACAUGAAUCUGGGAUUGAAAUUGUAUGAACUCACUACUGCACCUGGGUGCAGUGGGGUGCUACAUAGAGCAAUCUUAACUUACCGACAAAGAUGUAUACUUCCACAAUUUGUAUGGGCUAGUGCUCAUGCUAAACUUUUUUGGUGUGUGCUUGCUUUAUUAGGUUUCCCUAUAUGCAAAAGAUAACAGGUGGUAUGAACACACACAAGUGACAGGGGGAAAGUCUCAAGUGGGUGCAAGGUAUGUUGCCUGCAAUAAGAUACUAGACAGAAGGGGAAAGUCUCAAGAGGGUGCAAGAUAUGGAGCCUGCAAUGAAGAUCCAAAGUUUGAUGUAUUGCAGCUUCAUCUUGUUGAUGAUGCCUGACAUGAGACGACAUAAAGGGUGAUGGGAUAGGAGAAUUGGGGAACACAGUAGGUAAUGAUGAUAGAGAAAGAAAGGCUAACAUAGAGAGAGGAUGCAAUAAAACACUCGAUGAUUUGUAGAAAUCUGAACUUAACAAUGAAAGAACAAGUGUUGCAAGUUCAAACGUAUACUGAUUUCGUCGAGGGAGAGAGGCAUUGAACCACCAUUUUGAUCAGCUGGAGUUGGUGAGAUGUUGAUCCACAAGCCUGUGCUGCAAGUGGGCUCCAAAAAUGUUAGGGUUUCAAUGGAGGUUGCUGAUGAUUAGGCUAUUCUGGGGAAGAGAGGGGAGAAGGUUAAAUAGUUACUCCUAAGACUUGCUUCGAGUCCUCCGACUUACAUCGAGGGGAACUCUUGACAUCACACUGCACACACGUUAUGUGGGAAAACUAAAGCUUUCAUUUAUAUAAUAAUUCUUUGUCCCGUUUUAUAGGACCCAAUUAAAAGAAGAAAAGGAUGAAAAUAAUAAGAAGAAAAUACAAUCAUAUCAAAGCUAAUCAAAUAAAUUGUGGUUUCUUUCUUUCUGGAAGAUAUGAUUGACCAUACAUGGACGGUAAUUGGUUUUGGCGGCUCUCCUAUUUAGUUGCAAUGCAUGAAGAUGGUUGAUGAAUGACCUUCCACAUAGUUGCUGAAGCCUUGCAUGAGAAGUAGAGAGCGGACUUCAGCCAAGAAUGACUUGCCAACAAGCUGAAGCCUUGGACUUCUACAUUAAGAUAUUGGCAACUCAUUCUUGGCUUUAUUCCACUCUCUGCAUCUUCAUGUCACGCUUGCAGACCAGUCUGUUGAACAAUCAUUCAAUCUAUGCUUUCUUGAAUGACUCAUUGCCUCUAAUUUUGUUCUUCUGGUUUCUAUGUGGUAUUUCUGUUUGUAUAUAUAGGCAGUACUUUACAUAUUCUUACAUGGACUCAUUAGAUAAUUGAGAACUGGACUGGUUUCUGCUGAAGAAAUUCCUCAAGGAAUAUAUUCCUUGCACUGACAGUGCUGCAACAUGUGAAGGCAUCUAAAUUAUAAAAGUCAAACAUCUGCUUUGGGUUCAAUUUGCUGUGGGUUUAUAAUAGUCACAUUUAAAGAAGAUUAACUAAAGGGUUAUGGAGGUUAAAUGUUAUACUACUUACAUAGUGAGUGGUCAUCCUGGAAUGUUUAUCCGUUUGUCAAUUGUUGCAAGAAUAAGAAUUGAUUUGAUGUGAGCCAAACAUGAAGGGUCUUAUUCUUGGCAUCUAAUCUGGUAAAGGAUUCUUUCAGGAGAUUUGAGAUUGGUCAAUGCAUUCAUCUUGAGGAGAAUGAGUUCCUGUUGAUUUGAUAGGCUUAGAUUGCAUUGUUUCUCAUUUUGGCUUGUGAACCUUCUACACUUUGUUAUUGUUGUAUUAGAUGUCGAGACAAUUUCUUAUUCUGUGGAUAUUAUAUAUGUGUCCUUCUGGUAUAGCUAAACUGACAAAAAAGGAGGUCUAGUCAUGGUUAAACAUAACUGUAUUGUUCUUAUUAGGUCAGGAAAUUUCAAUUCUUAUUUUAAUCACAUAAAUUUGUGCUUUCCGAGCCUUUUAAUCAUACAUUCACAUCUAUAUAUCAAAGAAGUGGUUUUCAUGUUUGAGACUAUUUGAGCCUGUGACACUCACUUUAAUUACUUGAUUGUUGAGGCUAUUUGAGGCAACUAAUAAUCCAUUUCUACCCCUUGUUUACCUUUUAUGUGGGAAUCCCCAUUGGUAAAUGAUGAUUUUUGUAUUCAUGACGAUUUUCAUAUAAACUAGUCUUUUGGACUAUGCUCAUUGCGGAUUCCAUUUCAAAGGUCAUAUUUUGAUCAAUGAUUUGAAUCUCAGUCCAAUGCCGGUUUUCGUAAUCUGCUAGCUCAAUACCGUAUUGGUAUAAUAGGUAGUGUAUUGGCCCAUAAAGUUCGUGUUCAUAAAAAAGAAACAAUAAAAGAAAACCUGAUUGUUAUCAGCUUAUAUUGGAUCAGUAAAUAUCGGUGGAUACUGUAUUAACCAGUAUUUGAGUCCAUACUUUUGAUACCUGUAUCUAAGUGAAGUAUAUGUCUUUUAUUGGAGAAGCUAUUUGUUGGAAAGUGAUAUUGAAUCAUGAAAUUCAUCCUAGGUACUUAGAUAUUUUGAUAUAAAAAUCUUUACUAAUAUUUCAAAUGUGAGCAUUAUGGGGUAAUGUAUUGUCUAAUAGUCAACAUGCUUUCAACACCAUUGCAGAAAAUAUGUUAUUAAUUUUAGCCAUAGUUGGGUCAUUACAACUUUUGUUGUAGUAGUUACUUCAAGACUCAACUUUGUCACAUAUUCCAUAUAUCAUAUUAGAUAGAUAUCAUAUUUAUGAAGUACUAUUUACUUUCAUGAUGUCUUGAUGGUGAAAUGGUAGACACAUGAGACUCAAAAUCUCAUGCUAAAGAGUGUGGACAUUCAAGUCCCAUCAGGGCAUAAUAUUGAGAAUGCUAAUUGAAUGAACAAUUUAAUAAUAGAUCUAGAUCUAAUCAAUCUUGGUAUAUCAAGUAUCAAGGUUUGCCUUACUGGUGGUAUUAGCCUGGCUACGGCGAGGAAGAAGAGAGAAUUCGAAGAAGAAGGAGAAUCAUCAAAGAAGAGGGAGAACCAUCGAGAAAGAGGAUCGUGGAGUCACCAAUGCGUCGUCACCAGUGUCUCAAUGAACCUGAGCCCAUCGAACCUCGGUGCAAACUUGUCUUCCAUGCCCUUUCUCGAUCCCGAUCUGGCACCUCCCUCCCUCGACGAUCUUGAUCCAGGAGGUAACGACGAAGAGAGUCGUACCUCUUUGGAGGAGGAGCUGGAGGCACGGGGAUCAGGAGAUGCGGCGGUGAGAGCAAUAGAAGAGGCGACCGUGAGGAAGGCGGUGAAGACCUCAACCUUCUUCAUCUCCGAAUAGUCUCCUUCAUCCACUGUCACCGCACGAAGAACCUUUUGAUGUCGUCUUUCUUCUCCUCACCACCUUGGCGUCGAAGGUCGCAUAUGAGGCGACGAGGAGAAGAAGGACGAGGCGACAAUGAUGAGGCUACUACUUGGUAAUCUUCUUUAUAUCUUUAUAUAUUAUUAUUUUUAUAUAUUUUUAUAUAAAAAGAUAUAUAUUUUAUAUAUUUUAUAUAUUAAUUAUAUAUAUUUAUAUAUUUAGUAUUGCUCAGUACUAAAAUUGAUUUUUAUAUUUUUUAUAAGCGUACCGCUUGGUACAUCAUACCGUACCGAGCAAGCAAAGCUCGGUACACCAAUAUGGUAUGAAAUUUCAAUCCUUGAGUGACACAUCUUUUUUGGGCUUUGAGGAGCAGCUUUGUGGUAUGUUCCGGAUCAUCCUUCCAUUGAUAUUGAAUUAUCUAUAAAGAAAUGAGUUAAAUUGUUAGAUUACAAGUUACAUUUUAAGAUUCAAAUGAAUCAAGUAUAAAUGGAUCGAUUAAUGAAUAUACAUAGUUUUACUACUAAAAAAGAAUGAUAGGGCUCUGUGGGCAAUGGAUCGGGGUCCUCGAUAUAUAUAUAUAUAUAUAUAUAUAUAUAUAUAUAUAUAUAUAUAUAUAUAUAUUUGAUAUGUUUGUUGGACCCAAUCUUAAAAUUGAUCCUAUGACAUAGUAUACUGAUACAUUGUAUGCUAUUAAUGCAUCAAUGUGGUGAUGGUCGUAAUUUGAUCAUUGUGAAUCACAUGUGUUCGAGGCGGCUCCUGAGGCAAGUACGAUCAUGGCAUAUAUUGUUGCAGAGGUUGGAGAAUACCAUAACUUAUAUUUUCAUCAUUGAUCUGAUACUCUAUAUCAUAAGAUCGAUUACUGUACUGUUUCUCUGAGAAAAAUGAUUAUCAUUAUACUGAUGUUGGCAUUAAAAUUCUCCAUAAUAUUAUGGCUAGGAAUAUGACGAGCUCCACUUUAUGUCUACGUCGUGUAGGCUCUAUUGUAUCUGCUCAGAAUCAUCCACUGUCUUUCCCUUCCCUUUCCUUAUAUAAACUUGACUAGUACCUCAUCGAGUUGUAUAAUUUGAAUAUUGGGUAGCAUACAUAAAAUACUACUCCUCGGUCUAUCCACCACCUUCAAAAUGUGUAGACAGGACCAUCGACUCUUAGGCGUUGUCGCCAUCAUCGGUUGAGGCACUACUAUCCACAUUGCUGCCAUGUCUCUAGACGAAGUGGGUUGUUGAAUUUGAUUGAGUAGUCUCGUCACCUGAUUCGAUUCUUUCCAACGAUGUAAUUGAUGCUAUUACCUUCUCCUUUGCCUUUGUAUACUGGGUAGACAAUUGUGAUAGUUGAGUGUCUCUGAUUCCUCGAGUAGUUUGAAUCGAUGUUGUUGGACUCCUUUCGCCACGUUCUAAUCGAGGGGAAUCUUCCUUCUGCUAGGGAUGUGUUUCCUUUUCUUCUAUUGCCUCGAUGAAAUCAUAAAUGACAUGGAGGAUCUCCCGUCUCAUUAAGUAAAGAAUCCUCUUGGUUCUCCGCUACUUUGACCCAUUCUAACACCAGAGGUGAAUCUUCAUUAUAGUAUUGAAGGUCAAUGGGAUUAAUCUCUGGUUCCUUUGACUCCUUAUCCAGCUCGACACAUCGCAAACUUAGCUGCAUGGUGUAGUAGAUAUAUACCAGUUUUUUCAAUCGUCUAUAUGAUAGCCUAUUACAGACCUUUGUAUGAAUCAAUGCAAAUGUUGACCAGUUAUGUUCGUAACCAUUCGAUAUCGCUAUUUGUGAAAGUACACGGACGACAACCUUUCUUAAAUUUGGUGUGUCCCCUCCAAAUUAUUGCUAUUUCUCGAUUGUAAAAAUAUAUAAAUAAGACUUUAUUAGUAUAACAAAUAAUUAAUGUUAAAUAUAGUUUAUAAUCAACAUAUGUGUAAUUUUCCCUUACCGGGAUCAAUAUUGUAAUGACACGAAAUAGCUACAUUGUCGAAGAAUGAAUCAAUACUUUUUUCAAAUAGUCAACCAUCCAUAAUAGUAUCGGCUGCAUUGACAGUGUUUGGUAAUAGUCGAUAUAUAACAUUUCUUAGUGCCAACAAUAAAUUUGAUCACAUUCCAAGAUUAUACUGAAAUUGAAUGGCUAGAUUUAUAUAAUAUGUUGUAAGACAUAAUUUUAUUAGUAAAAUUUUUAAAUAUUAAAAAAUUAUGAAUUAAAUUAUAUUGAAUAUAAUUUACUUACAUUAUGGAUGUCUUGGUCCAUAUGAACCUUGGUCCUACGGUCGAUGAUAUGUAAGUAUCGAUCAGUCUUGAAAUUAUUUGCAAAUGCUUUCUUGACCUCCUCUCUUGUUGUAAGCAGUAAAUCUCUAUAUCGACCUUAUGGAGGACAACGUAAAGUGGUUCCACUCCUUCUAUAAUUUCAUUUACGACAUCCCAAAAUCUAAAAGAAAAAAUAAUCAUUUUCACCUUUUUCUAUCGCUCGAUCUCGAAUACCUAGAAUUGGACCAUUUUUGUGAUGUGACUAUUGCCUUGAGCCCCUACCUCUUUUGUUGUAUUGACUUUAAAAUAAUAAAAUUUGUAACAAACUAAGUGACUCUACGUCAGAGUAUCUCACCAUUUGUAUACUUUUGCAUCAAAGAGUAGAGUCGAGCUAUACACUUGCGUACUGAUGGUAGCUCAUCAAUAUUCUUCAACAUUAAGUCCAUGUAAUGAGCUGCUCAUAGAGUCCAAAACAAUAUAUUUUUCUUCCAUUAAUCGUAAACCUAUCUUAUUGAAAUUAGCUCCAUUGUCGGUGACAAUGUACUGUGGUCCGAUCUCCUCUACCAUGGUAUUCAUUAGGUUUUUUCAAUAUAGCUUACAUCUUGAAUCUUAUUGGAAGCAUUAAUCGACUUAUGAAAAACCACUCAUUUGUUGUAAUAUACAAGAAAAUUGAUGAUACUCAUUCUUGUUGGCCCUAUUCAAUUGUCACAUAUCAGUGUCACCAUAUAUUCAUCCCAUUGUCUUUUGAAGAAUUUUAUCUAAUCCCUUAAUUCUGCCUCCUUUUCAUCUAAAUACAAACUGUGGAUCUCCUUUAGCGUUGGAGGUUGGAUCCUCGUGAUAACCUUUUAGAUAAAGGAGAUCAUGCUCUAAUAAUAUAGACCUUAGGCUGUGUUUGCUAGAAUUCUGUAGAAGUUCAACCGGUUAGCUAUUGUAUUUCUAAUAUCCCGCUUAUUUUCUUUUGUAUAUGUAUUUUCAAUUCGUGUUUGCUUUGCUGUUUGUGGAGAAUAGACUUCCAUAUCAAUAUCAAUAAUAUAUGGUGUUGAUCUCCUGCCAAGUCCUUUGAUAAAACCACGAUUCCACACUGCCUCUUGCUACCAAUCUGGCUCAAUUAAGGAGGGGCAAUUGGCUACCUCAUGCUGGCUAACCUCUGGAAUCCCUGUUACGUAGACCCAUUGCCACUGCCAUGCUUCCAUUGUGAGUUAGGUCGUCGAUGCCUCAUUGCCUCCUCGUACAUGUACUGAUACUUCAUUGAUGCAUGAAUACUAGCUCUGAGAUCUAUAUCGAUAUUAUCAUUGCGAGCCUUGUAGUAUUCUUCCUGUUCCUUGGCCUUCUUUUUAAUUAUAUCUUCUCUUGUCUGUUGUAGCUUAAUUUUGAAAUUAUUGAUGGAUCUCCAUUGGAACCUUUUUGUAUUUUACAACAUUGGGAUAUGUAUAUUUAGUUGGGUGAUUUCUCUAACUCGGUCAAUGUAAUCACAAUGAAUGUAUUGCCAAUGAUAAUGGUUCCCAUCUAUCUUUUGGGCAUGAUCCCAAGCGUCGUCAUGUGCCUAUUCCUUUGGUGUCAUGUUCUUACCAAAAUUAAAUUAAAUAAACAAGUUGCGAUUAACUCUAAUUUGAAAUAACAAGCUACGGUUAUAUGUAAUGAACCCUACUUUGCCACUAUAAACAUAUCAAUCAACCUAAUAAACAUUAAAUACAUAGAAUUUACCCAAUAUAGAUCAAAUUAUGAUGAAUUCAUAAUUAAAUAUCAUAACAUUAAAAACACUAAUUUUUCCUAAUUAGCCCUCUUUUACCAUUAUAAACAUAUCAAACGCCCUACUAAUUAUUAAAUACAUAGAAUUGACCUAGGUCAAUUCACGAUGAAUUAAUCAUUACAUACAUAAAUUACAACAUUAAAAAACUUAAAUAAACUCUAAUUAGCCUUAUUUUACCAUUAUAAAUAUGUCAAACACUACAGGAGGCAUUAAAUACAUAAAUUUGAUGUAAUAUUAGUCAAAUUUUGAUGAAAUAUUAUUAAAUAUACUAAUCACAGCGUUAACAUAGUUAAUUAAGUGCAAAUGAGAGAGUGAGGAAAGUAUGUGAGUGAGAAAGAGAUUGCGAGAGUAGAAGAGUUAGAGAGAGCGAAAGGGGAAUGAAUGAGAGAGUAGAAAGAGGUUUUUAGUUCAAACAGAUGAAUCCUGGCCACCCAUCGGUAUUGAUUGAAAUUCGAUUGUUCUGCUCGGUAUAGACCCCGUAUCGGGUGAUACAAGGUCAUAUAACACUAACCGCCCGAGACAGGGUGGUCCGCGUACCGGUCUCCUGUUGGACUAACACAUACUUCCCGUAUCGGAUGGUAUACCACAUCAUGACAAACAUUGCCAAGUAUCUGAUCUCUUGAUACGAAGUAAUUCUACAAUCUCCACAAUCAAAGUCUGGCCUGUUAAAAUUGAAAUAGGUUCGCUAGGGGGUUACAAAAUCUUGGCAAUCUUUCUGUCUAAUGAAUCAGGAAUUUGUAUAGUAGUGGUCCGUCUCUGAACCAUCCUUUAGGUAUAUGAUUCAAGAGGAAUCACAAGGGUGGAUUGAUAAGUUGGCACAUGUUGCAUUUAACCUUGUGUCACUUCUGUGAUAAUUUUGGUCUUGCUCUGGAUGUGCAAAAAAAUAUCUUUUUUUUCUUUAAAAGUCUAGAGAAUUCAAUAAGCUUCAUUUGGAGAGUAAUAACCACAUGAACAAUAUAAGUUGAGUUCAAACUUGGGAAAUGAUCUAGACGGAUUUCUACCAAAGAGUCACAUUCAUCUCACAGCAGAAUGUUAGUAAUUGAAAAUCUCAUUGUUACUUUACACAUGUACCUAAUACUUAUAAUCUGUAAAUUUACAAGAAAGCUUUUGGUACCAUGGAUCAAUUCCCUGAUCGAAGGCACAUGUAUAUUUCUUAUGAUAGUUUAAAUGGAGAGUUGCAUGUUCCUGGUUGUAUAAGUAAAUGAGAUUAUUAAAAGAAUAGGCAUUCUUUGUGGAAUAAUGUUGUGAAGAAUAAUUGAGAUAAAUAUGAUGAAAUGAGUAAGUGAUGUUAAACAAAAAGAUUCAAUAAUUUUUUCAAAAGAGAAUAUAAAUAAAGAAUUAUUUUGUACGUUAGGUUGGAUAGAGGUAGCACUAUAUGACUAUAGCAUGAGGGGAUGAUAUUUUGGGAGCUCAAACACUCAAAUUAGGCAUUAUGAUACAUAGUGAGCUAGAAAAGAAACAGCAAACUUUUGAUGUAGCAUAGUGAGAAAAAGACCAAUUUUUUAUUAGGCAUUAUGAUACAAAUGAUUCUUGUAGGUGACUAAAAAGAAUCAAGAUAAAUGCUCUUUUUUUUUUUGUUAAUGUUGUGAUUAUCAUAGUAGAAGCCAUAAUAUUAUGAUUUUUAUGCAAGUUGUACAAGGGGAUUACCAAAUGAUUACCCCUAUGUUGCUCUUACACCAGUUGGUAGAAAGCUAUCACAGUGUCAAUACUGGUCAGACUAGUAAAUAGUGUUUGUACUUUGUACCAUGGUAUUAGGUUUCUUGGUUGUACUUGCUCGUGCGACAUCUUAUAGUUUUUCAAUGUGGUUAUUUAAUGUAUACAUUUCCUUAAAAAGGUUAUCUUCAUAUCAUGUAUGCUCUAAUUACAAAUGGCUGAACUCCUAAAAAGCUCCUGGCCCCCCAGUCUAAUAUCAGGGACUUGGCUAAAAUACCUGAUAAGAAACGACCUAAUUGUAAUCUCAUGAGGGCUAACAUAGAGACCUACAGAGAAAGCGACAUCUUAUAGUUUUUCAAUGUGGUUAUUUAAUGUUUGUAUUUCCUUAAAAAGUUUUAUCUUUCAUAUCAUGUAUGCUCUAAUUACAAAUGGCUGAACUUCUAAAGAAGCUCCUGACCACCCUUCUCUAAUGUCAUGGACUUGGCUAAAAUUGCACCCUAAUGGCACCUGAUAAUAAACGACCUAAUUGUAACCUCAUGAGGUCUAACAAAGAGACCUACAGAGAAAACAAUGGUUUGUCGAAGAACAUGUGGGUAAGCAAUUGAACAACAGGAACUUUGUUAGAAAAAUGUUUACUACAGGGUGAUAUAAUCACAGUAAGAUUGCUUCUUUAUUUUAGGUGUAAAGGUUCAAGAGUCAUGAAGAUAACAUCUCUUCGUUCCAGGCUCAGUUAGCAGAGUCUCAUAUAUCAAAUUGCUCUUUAUAUUUUCUUUUCUGUUUACAAAAUAAUUGGUGAUCUUUGUGAAACUUUGGGUAAACUCCUUUGAUUUUGGAAAAAGAAAAAGAAAGUCAUGACUCAACUUCUUCCAUCCAGUCCAAAUCCAAAUUGUUAUAUAUCUAGACAACAUCCAGAAUUUUUAUCCAGUUGAGAAGGACAGACACCAUUAGUUGAAUUAACCUAAACUGCCCUACACUCUCCUCUCUACUCUAAGAUGAUCUCAGGCAGUAGGACAUUUCCAUUUGCACAACAGCUAUCUUUCUUCCCACACCGUUUCCUGUAACUAUUACAACACCCACCGAUCAUUCUCCUUUCUAUGAUCCCCUGUGAAGAUGAACAACCUUGUUGUUCUUUCCCACACACAUGCCGGUGAGUAAUGCAACAAUCACCAUGCUUUUCCUUGUCUGUGCCUCUGCAAAAUUUUGAGGAACUACAAAUGACAUGUCUCUCACAGCAAUUCUCCCUGAUAUCAGGCUUGUGGCUGCACGCAACAUUCUUGCUUGUAUUCUCUUUGAGCAAUCCAUCUCCAUGUUGCACCUUCCCAUCAGUUAUCAAGAUUGAAUGUUCCUGAGUUGCAUUUGCUUUGUCUGCCACUGACUCAUGACAGCAAUGAGAAGCGAUUGAUGAUUCAAUUUGACUGUCUUGAUUCAUGCAGUUCUCAUGUGUCUUUUCUUUGUCUCCCUUCUCAUGCUCAUGGCAACUAUGCCCAUGUUUGCAACUCUGUGAUUGUUCAUGACUGCCAGGCAAUUUGUGUUCAUGCCUUGCACAAUGUUUCUUGUUCUUGUCUUUUGAUUGCAAUAGCAUCAUGCUGUUUAAGAUGACUAGAAGGCAUGUGCCGACAUCAGCUAGGACAGCUGCCCAAAGAAGUGGAUGGCCAGCAAAGGCAAAUGCAAGGACUACCACUUUGGUUAUCACCGAGAAGAAAAUAUUCUGAAUGAUGGUAAAAUAUGUCUUCCUGGCCAGUCUGAUAGCUUUUGGGACCUUGGAGAUGUCAUUUGACAUUAAGGUUAUAUGACUGGUCUCCUUUGCAACUGCUGAACCUGAUAUGCCCAUUGAGAUCCCAACAUCUGCCAUGGCCAGUGAAGGUGCAUCAUUCAUCCCAUCUCCAAUCAUUGCUAUAGAACCUUCUCCGGCCUUUAGAUCUCCAAUAAUUCUUACCUUGUCCUCUGGUAGAAGCUCUGCAUGAAUUAUUUCUAUGGCAUGCCCUAGCUGUAAUUAAGUAUUAGAAAGAGCAAAAUUUGUUCUAAAGUCUUAAGUAGUUGCUUAAAAAAAAAAAUCUUGCUUGCUUUUGAUUUUUUAUUAGUUUACCUGGUUCUGUGCAUGGAUGGCUGCCUCAUUGCUGUCUCCUGUAAUCAUUGCACAUUUAAUUCCCAGUGAUUUUAGUGCCUUUAGUGCUUGUGCAGCACCAGCCCGGCAGGUAUCAGACAGAGUGAAAAUUCCAAUUGGAAUCAUGUCCAAGAAUAUAUAUCCAUAGUUGAUUCCUUCCAUGCCCUCCACGUUUGGAACUGAAACAUCCAAACACAAAAACCUUAGAAAUUCUUUGAAGUAAUCACUGUAUCCUUCUGCUAAUCAUGAAAUAAAGGAGAUGGUCUAUAGAAAAAGUAAAAUAAAAAUUUUAGACUGGAAGCUCUGUUGGUUUCUAUGUUGAUAUCUUUUAUAAAUUGUAUCAGUAAGAUCUUUGCUAACACAAACAUCCGAUAAAAUCUAAGUCAUGCUGCAAAACUUCGGGAGUGAUACAAUGUGACCUACACAACCCUUAAGGCAAACAAUUGAUGGGAUAUAUCUUCUUACCUGUCUUGCAUGCGGCCCUUGAUGCAAUUCUCUUAUUCCCUAUGUAUAUGUUCUUUCCAUCUAUUUCUCCAUGGAUUCCUUCUCCUGGGUAAAUAUGAAACUCCCUUACAUUCUCUGGUUUUGGUUUGAUAGAAUUUGAUUUAGCAUAAUCUACCAAUGCGGAUGCCAUUGGGUGGCUUGAUUUGCUUUCAAUGCUUGAAACCCUGUAGAGUUACCACAUCAUCAGUUCAUCUCUUAUAACAUGCAGAAGCUCGUCUUUAAGGAUGAGCCAAAUGUUGCAAAAGAGCAAGCUUUAUCAUCACUUUGUUGCCUUUUAUUUGAGAACAUCUUUAUUUACAUUUCAAUUCUUGCAUGUAUGUAUCAGUUUUCCUUCUACCGAUUUUAUGAAGAUCUCUGUGUCCAUUAACAGAUUAAUGUAUUUGGAAAACAAAACCUUGCUGUAAUUGAUGUUUUACCAGUAAAGUAGUGUGUGCAGGGAGACGUUGCUGCUAAUCGAGCGGAAAUCCAUGACAGUGAACUCUCCUUUGGUUAGUGUCCCUGUCUUGUCAAACGCCACCACUGUUAUGCCAGCCAGGUUUUCAAGAACAUCUCCUCCUUUGAUAAAGAGUCCUGCCCUGGCUGCUC
rnacentral:lncRNA from 1 species